GACGUAGGGCGCGAGCGUUGUCCGGAUUUAUUGGGCGUAAAGAGCUCGUAGGCGGCUUGUCGCGUCGACUGUGAAAUCCCGCGGCUCAACUGCGGGUCUGCAGUCGAUACGGGCAGACUAGAGGUAUUCAGGGGAGAACGGAAUUCCUGGUGUAGCGGUGAAAUGCGCAGAUAUCAGGAGGAACACCGGUGGCGAAGGCGGUCGCUCGGA
rnacentral:rRNA from 1 species